UUGCUGUGAAAGACUUGAGUAGUGAGACGCUUAUAGUAUGUUUUUCUAUUCGGCGCCUCAUACUGAGUCUUUCCCGGCUCA
rnacentral:pre_miRNA from 1 species